GGAAAAACAUGGUCUUGUAGGGCUAGGUCUAAACCAGAAUUUAUAGAAAGAUUAAUAGAUUUCCUAGGUGUAGCUAAAAAUGCAUUAUCUUCUUGAUUAAAAGAUAGGACCUGAGCUAUAGAAAAGGGUUGGUUUUGACCUAUUGCAAUCAACUCCGGACACAGAUCAUAAUUAGGGGCAGGGCUUGUUGACUCCCAUGGUCUAUGGCUGGUCUCCGAAGGUGC
rnacentral:lncRNA from 1 species